UCCAGUUGAUCCUGCUGGCGGCUGCGGCUAUCUGGUUUGCACUUAGACAUGCAAGUCUGUUGAAAGACGGCAAACUGCUCAGUAACACGUAGCUAACCUACCCUAACAUUUGGGAUACCCUCGGGAAACUGAGGUUAAACCCGGAUAGGAAAUAAUUUCUGGAAUGAUUUAUUUCUCAAUGUUAGGAUGGGGCUGCGGCUGAUUAGCUUGUUGGCGGGGUAAUAGCCCACCAAGGCGUUUAUCAGUAAGGGCUCUUAGCGGAGAAGCCCUGAGAGGGAGUCUGAGACACUACUCCCAGCCCACGGGGUGCAGCAGUUAGGAAACUUCUACAAUGCGCGCAAGCGUGAUAGAGCAAGCCAGAGUGAUUCUCUAAUAAUUGAGAAUCUUUUGUGUGAUGUAAAAAGUCACACGAAUAAGGACUGGGAAAGACUGGUGCCAGCCGCCGCGGUAAUACCAGCGGUCCAAGUCGCAGCCUUUUUUAUUGGGUCUAAAACAUCCGUAGCUCGUUUCGUCAGUCUUUUGUGAAAUCUGACAUCUUAAGUGUCAGGCGAGCAAGAGAUACUGCGGAGCUAGAGAUCGGGAGACGUAAGAAGUACGCAUAGGGUAGCGGUCAAAUGUGUUGAUCCUUUGUGGACUAACGAUAGCGGAGGCAUCUUACGAGAACGAAUCUGACAGUGAGGGAUGAAGGCUAGGGGCGCAAAACGGAUUAGAUACCCGUGUAGUCCUAGCAGUAAACACUGCACACUAAACAUCGGUCCCUCCUCGAGAGGUAUCGGUGCUGUAGGGAAGCCGUAGAGUGUGCUACCUGGGAAGUAUAGUCGCAAGGCCGAAACUUAAAGGAAUAGGCGGCGGGAUACUACAACCAGUGACGCGUGCGGUUCAAUUAAAUUAUACACCGUGAACCUCACCAGAGUCGACAGCAGAAUGAAGGUCAGUCUAAAGGGCUUACCUGACACGCCGAGAGGAGCCGCAAGGCCGACGUCAGCCUGUGUCGUGAGAUGAUCUGUUAAAUCAGAUAACAGGCGAGACCCGUGUGUACAUUUGCACUGUACAAUGUACAGACUGCCUUGGUAACAAGGAGGAAGGUGCGGGCUACGUUAGGUUAGUUCAGCCCGAAUGCUCUGGGCUACACGCGCGCGGCAAUGGUAUAUUCAAAGGGUCGCGACUCCGAGAGGAGAAGCUAAUCUCAUAAACUAUACCCUAGUUCAGAUCGAGGCUUGCAACUCAGCCUCGUGACGCUGGAAUUGGUAGUAAUCGGAUUUUAUCAGAGUCCGGUGAAUAAGUCAAUGUCCCGUGCACUCACCGCCCGUCAAACCAACCGAGUUAUGCUCUGGCGAGGCCCUUCGGGGACGAACCUAGGUAUGACAGGGUAGGUUAAGUCGUCACAAGGUA
rnacentral:rRNA from 1 species